UGGGGAAUCUUGCGCAAUGGCCGUAAGGCUGACGCAGCGACGCCGCGUGCGGGAGGAAGGGCUUCGGCUCGUAAACCGCUGUUGCCCGGGACGAACGGCUUCUUUCGAGGAGCGUGACGGUACCGGGUGAGGAAGCACCGGCUAACUCCGUGCCAGCAGCCGCGGUAAUACGGAGGGUGCGAGCGUUGUCCGGAAUCACUGGGCGUAAAGGGCGCGUAGGCGGCCUGGUAAGGUGGUGGUGAAAGCCCGGGGCUCAACCCCGGGUCUGCCAUGACGACUGCCAGGCUGGAGCCCACUAGGGGCAGGCGGAAUUCCGGGUGUAGCGGUGGAAUGCGUAGAGAUCCGGAAGAACACCGGUGGCGAAGGCGGCCUGCUGGGGUGGAAGACGAUCGCAAGAUCGUUGGCUGACGCUGAGGCGCGACAGCGUGGGGAGCAAACAGGAUUAGAUACCCCGGUAGUCC
rnacentral:rRNA from 1 species